AACGAACGCUGGCGGCAUGCCUAACACAUGCAAGUCGAACGAGACCUUCGGGUCUAGUGGCGCACGGGUGCGUAACGCGUGGGAACCUGCCCUUAGGUUCGGAAUAACUCCCCGAAAGGGGUGCUAAUACCGGAUAAUGACUUCGGACCAAAGAUUUAUCGCCUUUGGAUGGGCCCGCGUUGGAUUAGCUAGUUGGUAGGGUAAAAGCCUACCAAGGCGACGAUCCAUAGCUGGUCUGAGAGGAUGAUCAGCCACACUGGGACUGAGGCACGGCCCAGACUCCUACGGGAGGCAGCAGUGGGGAAUAUUGGACAAUGGGCGAAAGCCUGAUCCAGCAAUGCCGCGUGAGUGAUGAAGGCCUUAGGGUUGUAAAGCUCUUUUACCCGGGAUGAUAAUGACAGUACCGGGAGAAUAAGCUCCGGCUAACUCCGUG
rnacentral:rRNA from 1 species